UUGUGAAAUAAUUUGUGAAUUUCUGCUGUAAUUUUGUUUAUAUAUGUGUACUUUGUGAAAUAAUUAGUGAAUUUGUGAAAAUAAUUUGUGAAUUUGUGCUGUAAUUCUGUCAAUUUAAAAUUUUCCUUCAAUUUUUGUUCUACUGGGAAUUAUGCUAAUGAUUCCGUACAAGGGAAGUCCAGGUUAGUUCAUGAGUAUCAUGACUUCAUUCUCCAUGUCAAUUAAAUGGAGUAAUUUGUCACUAUGAAACUGUUUAAUGAGUUUCUCAAGUGGUUUUGAAGGUGCGUUUUCUGCAAUGAUGUGCUAUUCCACUCAUUCCUUUUACAUCACCCCUUUUAUUGUGUUGAUUUUGGAUAUAAGAAUAUAAAUUUUUUAUGAAAAGAAAAUUUAAAAGAUUUUUGAUAUGUUUAUCUUUAUAAUUAAUUUACUUUAUUUAAAGAUUUUUUUAUCUCAGGAAAAAUGUCUCUGCUUAUUUGCAGAAUUGUAUAUAACAUAGUUCAACUGGUCAACAAAGAUAGUUCUUUGGUAGAGUUUUUAUUAUUUUGACUACUAAUUAUACUGUUAUCUUCUUAUGUGGGAUUAUUUCUUUUGUGAAUUUGUUCAUGUUCAUUUUAAAUCGUUAUCCACUUUGGUUCUAAUCGCAGAUGUUGGCAUGUUGCAAUUUAUAUAUGUUGAUGUUGCAAUGGUAUACUCAGAUUUUUCAAUAGGUGCUUCAUAUAUGGUUUGCUUACUUUUUUCAUUUUUUUUAAUGCAGGUCCUUUAAAAUUGAUAACAGUAAGUACACACAAAAAAAAAUUUCAGAACCAUAUAAGAAUCAAAGAAAAUCAGUAAACCAAUCAUAAAACCAAUCCACAACAAUCAGUAAUGAGUAAUGACAACAUCACUGACAGAAUAUUAGAAAAAAUGAAAAAUCAGUAAACCACAAAUCAGAAUCAAGAUUCAAGAACAUCAUCAACAAUCCUAAACCAAUCAAUGAUAAUACCAAACCACAAUAAUGAUAAUAAGUAAACAACAAUUGAAAAAUCAGAGGUGAGGGACUGGAGGGUUACUGGGCAGCAGAACUCGAUAAUACCAAUCCACAAUAAUGACAAUAAGUCAAUAACAAUUGAAGAAGAUUAGAAGAAAAAUGAAAAAUCAGAGAGGUGAGGGACUAGAGGGUUACUGGGAAGCAGAACUCGAGAAGAGGUGGAGCGUUGCCGAAUUACUGCCAAGGAGUUGUGGAACUGGAGUAGAGAAGGGUUGGAGCACGGUGGAAUAGAGCCGGUGCGGCAGAACAGCAGCUGCGGGACGGAGGAAGGAAGUGAGACGAGUUGUAGUGGGAAUGGUGCCUUCGAGCAGUGGCGGAGACGACCGUGGUGGGGAAGGCGGCUUCGACAGCUGCGAUGGCAGCGGUGACACGGCGGUGGCUGAACGGAGCAAGUGUGGCAGUGACGAAGGAGCUCGAACCUCAGAGAUGCUGCUGCCUGCUGGGUUACCGUUUUGGCUGGGUUCUCUUUUUUUUUUUUUUGAAGGAAUGAAAAGUUGAAAACAGUGUUGUUUUGGUCCAAAAUACAAAAACUGGCCUGAUUCACAUGGUCUUAUAUGUUUUCUCGAUUGCUUGGAUUCAAAGGCAUUUAUUCUCUUUUAUUUUCUAUUAUACGACAUUAAAUCAAUUGUUGUUGACUUAUUGUCAUUAUUGUGGUUUACUGAAUUUUCAUUUUUUCUGAUAUUCUGUCAAUGAUGUUGUCAUUACUCAUUAGAUUGUUGUGGAUUGAUUUAUUGGUUUACUGAUUUUCUUUGAUUCUUACAUGGUUCUGAUCUGUUAAUUUUUUUGGUUGUGUACGAACUGUUAUCCUUGAGAUUAUUGGGUUGCUGUAAUAUUGUUAAUUGUUAUUGGGUUGCUGGUAAUUUUUAAGUAUGAAUGAGAGUAUCAAUCAAAAAGCAUCUAGGGAUAAUAAUGCACCUACUGAGAACAAUUUGGCUUCUAAUCUCUUGUUAGGUUGUUGUAUGUUUGUCCAAUUGUUGAUUUGAAUAAUUAUUCUGAUCUAAAUUCAUGUUAUUGAUCUUGUUAAUUUAGUAAUUUGAUAAAUUGUUGUUGAAGUGCUCUGUGAUUGUUAGGUUGUUGUAUUUUUAUCUAAUUGUUAAUUUGAACAAUUAUUCUAUCUUAGUUCAUGUUCUUGAUCUUGUCUAGUAAUUUGAUAAAUUGUUUCUGAGGUGUUGUUCUUUGAUCCUGUGAUUGCUAGGUGGCUGUAUUUUUGCCAAUUAUUAAUUUGAAUAAUUAUUCUAAUUUGAGUUCAUGUUCUUGAAUUUGUUAAUUUGAUAAAUUAUUGUUGUUGUGGUGCUAUUUUUGAUCUUGUGAUUGUUAAUUUGUAUAAUUGUUAUUUUUAAUGAGAUAUUGUGGUUGAUAUAGUACUUUUAAUUUGAAUGAUAUUUUAAAGUUUAUAUUAGAUUAUAGUUAUGUUUUAAUGUGUUUAUUUAUAUUUUAUUUAUUACUAUAACAUGGUUUUUUCAGUUGAACCAAUUAAUUAAUAAUCAGAGCAGUUCGAUGAUCGGUUUGGUUUUCUAAACCUUGAUCUUUAAAAAUCAUUUUGGAACUAAUUGACAUGAAAUAUAUAAGCAUGGUUCUGAAGUCACCAAAAAAAAAUAUAAGCAUGGUUCUGAAAACCAAUUUGAAUCGGUUGAUCAAACCGUGAGCCGAUCGCAAAUUUGGUUAGGUCCAUAGUAAAAAACCAUCAAGUUUAAAAAUCAAUUUGAGAAUUGGAAUAUCAAUCGAGAACUAGUGAGUCAAUUGAAUCGGGACCCCGAUCGGUUUUGAAGCUAGAACCAAAAUAACGUCGUUUUGGAUUCAAAAAAAAUA